GACGAACGCUGGCGGCGUGCUUAACACAUGCAAGUCGAACGUGAUUUUUGUGGAAAACUCUUCGGGGACGGAAGCGAAAUGAAAGUGGCGAACGGGUGAGUAACACGUGAGCAACCUACCUUACACAGGGGGAUAGCCGUUGGAAACGACGAUUAAUACCGCAUGAGACCACAGUACUGCAUGGUAUAGGGGUCAAAGAUUUAUCGGUGUAAGAUGGGCUCGCGUCUGAUUAGCUAGUUGGAAGGGUAAAGGCCUACCAAGGCAACGAUCAGCAGCCGGUCUGAGAGGAUGAACGGCCACAUUGGAACUGAGACACGGUCCAAACUCCUACGGGAGGCAGCAGUGGGGAAUAUUGCACAAUGGGGGGAACCCUGAUGCAGCGACGCCGCGUGAGCGAAGAAGGUUUUCGAAUCGUAAAGCUCUGUCCUAUGAGAAGAUAAUGACGGUAUCAUAGGAGGAAGCCCCGGCUAAAUACGUGCCAGCAGCCGCGGUAAUACGUAUGGGGCGAGCGUUGUCCGGAAUUAUUGGGCGUAAAGGGUACGUAGGCGGCCUUUUAAGUCAGGUGUGAAAGCGUGAGGCUUAACCUCAUUAAGCACUUGAAACUGGAAGGCUUGAGUGAAGGAGAGGAAAGUGGAAUUCCUAGUGUAGCGGUGAAAUGCGUAGAUAUUAGGAGGAAUACCGGUGGCGAAGGCGACUUUCUGGACUUUUACUGACGCUCAGGUACGAAAGCGUGGGGAGCAAACAGG
rnacentral:rRNA from 1 species